rnacentral:sRNA from 1 species
AUCUCAUAAAUAUUGGAGGGAAUAGAAAAACCGUCUUUGAGAAAAAAAUGGGAAGAAUCAAUGACGCCGUUCCCUUUUUCGGGAAAGGAUUCAACAAAAUUUACCCCCUAAUCAUGGUUAUAUAUACUUCACUAAUAGCAGCAAAUAUUUUUGACCGGGUCAUAAAGUAUUGUGGGAAUCUGAAAAUAUUUAAGUUCAAUG